GUAAUGUGUCGGAGUUCUCCUGCAAGCACAAGUAUUAACAGCAUUAGAAAAACACCUUGUUAUUCAUGUCAAUGACUAAUCUCUGUUUCGUUUUUCUCCCACUCUGCUUUCACAGCACCUUGACCGGGCUGGGAAUCACUGCUUAGGACAGGCAGCGCACACUAAGCUUGCUUGAGGUCCUCAAAGGAGAUGAGUAUGUUCGAUGUCAAAGCCAAGAACUCUUCCUACAGCCAUCAGUACGUUACACCUGGACUCCAUUGAUUUUUCCUGCUGUCUUCACUCUCCUGUGCACACAGGCACUCAUUCACACUCAUGCUCACACCAUGGCCAAACCACACCGCAGGCCGCUCCUUCCUAAUCAGCCAAGGAACUCAAAUUUCACAGCAUCUUCUCCAAUUCCAGGAUAGAGGUCUCAGAAACACAGGCCCUUGCCUCGCCAUGUGGCAUUUGCCAGCAACGCAGCAGAUUCCUUCCUAAGCAAGCCAAGGUUUGGUGCUCCAGAGAUUCUGCUCCAUUUCCCAGGCAAUCAGUCCAAGAAACCUGAUCCACAUCUUUCCUGAGGGAAGCACCUGCUGCUGCCCAGGUCUCUUUCAACCAAUCACCAACACAAGUGGUGACAGCAGCUGCAGGAAUGGAGUUCCCCCAAGAGGAACUCUGUGUCCCAGACCAAGAGGAAGGAGGAGCUCAACAGCAAGAUUUCUAAGCCUGCCCUGAGACCACAGUGAGAAAUUCUCCCAAGAGCCUCAGGCCUGUACCACAAGGCUUCUCAUCUCCAGUGCUCAAGCCACAAGCAGAUGAGUACAAAAUACUUGGUUUGCUGGCCAACUCUGGAGCCUAUCCCUCAUUCCCUGCCAGCCCACCACACACAAAUCCCAGCUGGGGACACCAGAGGCUGGCAGGACACCAGAGACUGGCAGGACUGGGGUGCCCAGGGAAAAGGGUGCCUGAUGCAAAGAAAAGAUGCUCAAAUAAGCAGGACACUUGCCACCUCCACUUUUCUUUCACAAAAUAUUUCAGUUUCCCCAACUUGCAAAAGUAGAAUAACUAGUAUGAUCUGAAAAUGCAAUUUGGUUUGUUAAUCCUUUGUCUUGUAUUUGAGAUUCUCUGGUUUAAGCAAAAACAAGUGGGAUCCAGUCUACUUAAUCUUCCACAGCAAACUUGAACUCGUAUGUUGUGUGGUUGGUGAACCAAGCCUUUAAUCCUAGCUUAAAGCCCACCCUGAGGAUUUAAAAGGCACCCUCAGUGCCUCUGAGGAAUGUCACUGACAGUCAGGCCCUAGAGGACAACAGUGACACUGCAGUUGAAGAUGCUCAUGGAAGCACCAGAGACUCCUCAUCACAGGAAUUUCACAACUGCCCUCUCCUGUGCACUGCCAACACUGCAGUUACUGAGUAACUGCUAGGUCAUUUUACAGUUCUAUGACAUCACUAGAAAAUGCCAACCUGUCUGCUGUAAGGUACAAAGCAGGAAUGUAAGAUGCACUCCAGCAGCUGCAAUCCUGUCUGGAGGUGCCACAGGGUAUCUUGUGCCCAGCCCUCUUACUGCUUUAUAAAUUUCCAGACCUGUGGGCCUCAAGUUUGUACAUCUCAGUUACCAGGAGGGUGUUUAAAGCCUGCUGAUACAGCCCCUCUCUCUGCCUGCUGUGGCAGCCAGCUCCUGAACCUCAUUGCCUGCUGGGCAGGGAUGCAUUUGGUUUAAAGCCAUCCUCUGCAAAUUUCACUGGCUUUCCCCCAGCUCUUACAUGGUGAGUGCUGGCAAACAGCAGCUCUGUCUUCAGCUUAUCCACUGACUUCCUGAUUACAUAAACCUUACUCCACACUCAAAAGCCUCAGGCAUUUCAGCCUCCCCCAAAGGGCAGCUGCUCCCUCCUACAUAAUCACCGCUGCCCUUCUCUGCACUGCAAUGCCAUUAACAGCCCCCUGAAGGACACAGAGGGAUCCCUGCUGUAGCAGGAAUAUCCAGCACAGAACAGGCAGCCCCAUGCACGGGAGGGGGAAUCCCUGAUUGUGUCCAGCCUCACAACCCCGAGCUCCCAGAGCCACUGGCUCAGCCCCCGGACAGCGACACUGCGGCCACGGGCAGGGCAACCCCCAGCUCUGGGCAGCAGGGACGUGCCCUCCCCAGCUGUGGCUGACAGCCCUGGCUGUUCCCCCACCAUGUAACAGGACAGAUCCUGUCCCUCCACACAGCACUGUGCUGUCUCAUACUCCGAGGGAAUGGAACACUUGAGGCAUCACCACACUCCCCCACGAGUCAAAAACCUGCCUUACAGAGCAGCCUGGGCCAAGUUCCAUGGCUUGGCACAUCCGCUCUGCCUGCUCCUGGGCUGUGACAGCAGCCACACUCAGCUCAGUGUCCUCUGCCCAGGUACUCCCUUCCCACCUCCGGUACUCCCUACCUGCAGCACCUGCUGCACUGCUAGCUAGGAUCCAAAGCUGCUGACAGACGAUUUUACAUCACGUUACAAACUGUGCAUCACUUGAGUCCUCACACUUACACAAAGACAACAGAUUCACACAGACACGUGUUAACAUCCACACUUCGCUGAGUAUAUCCCCAAAUGAAUUUUAAAUGAAAUAUUGAAAUGAACACCGCAAAUUUUGGCUUUUCCCAGAAGGCAAAGUUUACACCAAAGUUCUUCUUUAGUAAGUGCUCUCCAUUUAAAUGGAUAUAUUUCUUCAGUACCCGUAAAUCAACAUAUUCUCCUUUUGGAUAGUAUUAUGCUUUAAAUUAGUGUUGCAUAAAUACCGUUACCUUUUUUGGUGAAAAACUCCUUGGAAUAUUUCCCCAACAUAGCGUAUUUUCGAGGGAUUUUUCCCAGCAGUUCAAUGAUCAAUGCUAUGUGGUCUGCAUUGGAGAACAUUGCCAGCAAAACAGAAACAUACAACAGUUUAAUCAGUACAUUGCAUGCACACACUAACACUGGCCCGGUACAGACAGAAAUAGAUUGAUCCUGGUAAAAAACACACGUGUGCACUGCUUGCUCAGUGGCUGCUUUGGAAAGGUACUUUCAGCAAAACUUCCUUCUCAAAACAAUGUUUGAGUGUCAGCUGCCACAAACAACGUGGCAUAUCAUUAAAAAAUGUACCAAUAGUAAUUUUUUGGAACAUUUGGGUGAAAAAAAAAAUUGUCAGAGAUUCCUGGGAAUUUUGCUUUUCAAAAUGAAAAUUUUGUUGUGUGAUCCCAGGAAAUGCUCCUCGCUGGGACAUGAUACAACCAGCAACUGCAAUUCCACUUCUGUCUGCAUCACGGCACCUUUCAAAAAGAAGAGGUACUACCUCUGCGAUUGAAGAAUUCCCGAGAAUAUUUUCCAGAUAGAGCAAAGUGCCUUGGGAUAUUGCCUAGCAGCUCUAUGAUGUGUGCUAUGUGGUCUAUGAGGGAGAGAAAAAAAGGAUACGGGAGUGGAAGGGGCAGGGAAAGGAUGGGAUAAAAAAGAAGAGGAAAGAAACUGGAAUUAGUAAAAAAUCAGAAAUAGUUUCAAAUCAACAAUGUUUGCAGCAAAUCCAUGCAGAGGUUUCCAGGAUCAGCAGAGCUCUGGCAUCAUUAGUAGCAUUUAGGAACAAUGAAUGAUGCCUACAAUACCACUGCAAAUAGCAUUUACAAGCAAACAAGCAUGAAAAUGGACAGGUAUACAGAUGGAAGCAGGAGUUAACUCUGAUUUUAAAAAAAAUAAUUAGUAAUUGCCUAAUUCAAAUAAAAAUACACAAUGUAAACAUUA